GCGACAUCAUCUUUCGCCAUUUUACAAUCAGGUCCUUUCAAAACUCCCCAAAAGAACUACUCAGCAGAAUGACUCAGGUGAGGUGGCUCAUGCUAACGACCACCAUUAGCAUACGAGGGCUCGGUGAAACUUGCAUUUCGACCCCCUUUGUCACUCCCUGGCUCCCAACGACCACCGUUGAGGAGCCAGGUGGGCCUUGGCAAUGGUCGUCGGAAUGUGAAUAACACUGACCACACCUCACAGGGGUUAUAAGCUGAGGCAACAUCAACCACCACCAGAACUGAAGAAGCCUCUUGGAUGAGAGGUGAAAUGUCUUCAAGGAAACUUCUUAAAGUCCAGUUGGAUUGAUUUAAACAACUUUGGACUCCUGAUUCAUCCAACUUUUUCCAAGAGAUUUCUGAGUUCUCUCUCCUUCUUCAUGUUUUGUUUCCACAGAGCUGGAGGAUCUUAGAUCUUUUACUGCCUUUUUACAUCUUAUAGUUGAGAUUUGGUGUCUGUGUGGCCAUUUAGUGUCUAUUUUGUUGGUCCUGUCUGUUUUUGGAGUUAUUGUUUGUAGUUAUUGGUAGUUUUUACAUGUAUGAAUGUUCAACUUGCAUCUAUUUAUUGUUGGUUUUCGUCUCUUUCAGGUCAUUUUGUGUCUCUUUGCUGUGUUGUUGCAUCAUAUCGUUGUUCUUUUGUGUCCCUGUGUUGUAGUUUUACAGAGAAAUUCUGUAUUUUGGGGUUUUUUUUUGUAUGAUCGCUGUCAUUCUAACUGCACAGAAGUGUCACUAACCCUGCGCCCAGGUUGCUCCCGUGUCCAGGUUCUGCUCCUCUCUCCAGGUUUUGCGCCCAUGUUCUUCUCCCGUCUCCAAGUUCUGCACCCGUCCCCAGGUUCUGUUCCUGUCUCCAGGUUUUGCGCCCGUCUCCAGGUUCUGCACCCGUCUCCAGGUUCUGUUCCCGUCUCCAGGUUUUGUGCCCAGGUUCUGUUGCAGUCUCCAUGUUCUGCGCCCGUCUCCAGGUUCUGCCCCCAGGAUUUGCUCCUGUCUCCAUGUUCUGCACUCGUCCCCAGAUUGCUCGCCCAGAAGCAAGCUUGAUGGACAGGACUGAUGGAAACUGCUUCGAGCAAAAUUAGUGCUUGGUGAGAGUAAAAGCAGUAAACCAGGCCUGAAGCAGGCAGAUGGUGGAGGUCCAGGAGAGGGAACGACCCAUCAGGACGAGGAUCAAACCACUCUGAUAGAUGGUCUCACCUAGGCUUCGGCUCCAACCACAAGAGACAACCGAGCUGAAGGAGAAGAGAAGACAGGAUGGCACAGAUGAAGGCAGGAAGGAUGGACAAAAGACAAUAACUGAAGACAUCUGAAAGACACGUUAACUCUGGCAGAGGAUGGUAAGAGGAGACAAAGCAUUUCACACACAGAGAGUAACAGGAAACAUGGAUAAAAGUGGAACCUUUUGGACUGGAUAUUUCACUUUUUACUGCCAGAGCCCGUCGUUUGACAGUGCUUUAACACACCGGGGUGUACACUCACGUUCUGAGCUGCAGGAAGAUAAAAUAUGACUUAAGUGAAAAGCUAUCAGCGAGGCCUUGUUCUCCAUUGACUAAACUAUUAUCUUGAUUUACGGAGUGAGCGUUACAAAGUGGCUUUCUGGAGUUACGAACCAGGAUGCUCUCAGUCGGAAGAAUUGGAAAAGUGUCUCCUCGGGGA